GGGCUCGCUUCAGCAGCACUUAUAUUAAAAUUGGAAUGAUACAGAGAAGAUUGGCAGGGCUCCUGCUCAAGGAUGACACUCAAAUUCGUGAAGCAUUCCAUAUUUUU
rnacentral:snRNA from 1 species